GAUGAAGAACGUAGUGAAAUGCGAUAAGUAGUGUGAAUUGCAGAAUUCAGUGAAUCAUCGAAUCUUUGAACGCACAUUGCGCCUUCUAGUAUUCUGGGAGGCAUGCCUGUUUGAGCGUCAUUAAACCACUCUCAAGUAUGAUUACUUGGAUGUGAAGGAAGAGUACCUUAAACUUAAGGAGUGUUCUCCUUUGAAAUUGAUUAGCAGAUGGUAAUGUUAUUAAAUCCCUGAUGUUGUAAGAAAUAACAGUGGUUUUGUAGACUAUUAUCUAGCUUUAAAUUAUAAUUUUUAUUAUGGUUGACCUCAAAUCAGGUAAGGAUACCCGCUGAACUUAAGCAUAUCAAUAAGCGGAGGA
rnacentral:misc_RNA from 1 species